rnacentral:rRNA from 1 species
ACGAACGCUGGCGGCGUGCUUAACACAUGCAAGUCGUACGGUAAGGCCCUUUCGGGGGUACACGAGUGGCGAACGGGUGAGUAACACGUGAGUAACCUGCCCACAACUUUGGGAUAACGCUAGGAAACUGGUGCUAAUACUGGAUAUGUGCCCCUGCUGCAUGGUGGGGGUUGGAAAGCUCCGGCGGUUGUGGAUGGACUCGCGGCCUAUCAGCUUGUUGGUGGGGUAGUGGCCUACCAAGGCGGCGACGGGUAGCCGGCCUGGGAGGGUGACCGGCCACAGUGGGACUGGGAUACGGCCCAGGCUCCUACGGGAGGCAGCAGUGGGGGAUAUUGCACAAUGGGCGCAAGCCUGAUGCAGCAACGCCGCGUGCGGGAGGACGGCCUUCGGGUUGUAAACCGCUUUCAGCAGGGACGAAGCUUUUUGUGACGGUACCUGCAGAAGAAGCACCGGCUAACUACGUG